GGGCCGUUAGCUCAAUUGGCAGAGCAACUGACUCUUAAUCAGUAGGUUGAAGGUUCGAUUCCUUCACGGCCCA
rfam:Desulfotignum phosphitoxidans DSM 13687 Dpo_2c, whole genome shotgun sequence.